rnacentral:rRNA from 1 species
UACAGAGGUCCCGAGCGUCAGGCGGAAUCACUGGGCUUAAAGCGUGUGUAGGCGGAUCCGUAAGUACCUUGUGAAAUCCCACAGCUUAACUGUGGAACUGCUUGGUAUACUGCGGAUCUUGAGCCAGCUAGGGGCAACCGGAACAGAUGGUGGAGCGGUGAAAUGCGUAGAUAUCAUCUGGAACGCCAAUGGUGAAAACAGGUUGCUGGGGCCGUGCUGACGCUGAGACACGAAAGCCAGGGGAGCAAACGGG